GCUCAUAGAAGUGAGUGAAUUGACAUUGAUGCCAACAUGAUUAUCGCUUAUAUCGCCAAACUCUUCGUUUUUGAAGACAUCGAACUUCACGCCAAAGACAUGGUUCGUCGAAUUCCCAUCGUUGGUACGGUUGAGAAAGCCUAGAUGUUGAGAAGAAGUGGCGCCUUCGAUGCCGGUGACUGGUGCAAAGAGGAAAACGAUGCCAUGGCCGGGAAGAAUGUCCUCGUAAGGUGCAAUGGAGAAGAUGAACGAGGUGGAAAAAGGAACCACAUCGGAGGAAUUCGGCGAUUUUGCAGGGAUUUUCGAUGGGUAAAGAGCUCUACCAAUUGCGAAGCUAGUCUGGUUCGUAAGAGUGAGAACGCGAGAUUCAAUGUCGGCAACACCGUAGAGUAGCAUAUCAGAGGAAUUGAAGCCGUUGAAGACGAAAUCUUCAGCGGAUGCUGAUCCGAAGAAAGUUGAAAUGGAAAGUAUGAGGAGCAGAAGAGGGUGGUGUCUCUUCAUAUUGCAGCAGAGCAGAAGAAUAACGAAGAAGAGCAGAUACGGCUCUCAUGUAUGAUAUAUGAAUGGAACAGAGAUAGGGAGAUAAGCAGAGAUUCUGAAGGAGUAUUCGAGUUUUCUUGGUCAAACGUUUGUGAUUCAUGGGAUUUGGGUUUUUUCUUCCAAUACUCCAAUAUCUACGAAGGUGGUAUAUUUCCCCUUGUUUCUAUUUUUUUAGGGGUCACUCGAAAGAAGUUCCCAAAAGCCAAUAGUCAUAACUCUGACCAAACUUCCACUGGUUGUAAUCAUGCCACCUAAGACAAUGGAUUUUGAUAGGGGCAGGGGACUAGGAAAGCUAAAAAUAGCAGCAGAAGAUGCUUCCCUUGGUGAGUGGGUGACCCCUCAACUCUCGUCUGCCAAAUUUGAAAAAUUGAGCUCUCACCAAAAUCUCAUUUUUCCUCACCGACUCCAUCAAGGGUAUGUCUGGUUAUUUCUCAAACAAUAAACCCCAAAUCUCAUCAAUUCAAGGCCAAGAACAAAGCUGGCAGCUAGGCAGCUAUGAUCCGUUCGACGAAAGUCCCCAAAGAGAAAUGAGAACACAGAACAUGUAGUUGACUCCCAUACCUCAUUGCCCACGUAAGAAUUUUUGUACGGAGUCAACCUGGCGGCCGCGUACGGCAGCUCUUCCCCUCAAUAUAAAUAAUAUUUUGACUUUCUCAAAUGUGAACUCAUUAUACUUUACACUUUGCGCUGAUCCAAAGCCAGAAUUUCGCGUCAUUCCAGUUGUUGUUCUCUCCAAAAUUUUAAUUUUCAAAGUUUAAAUUAUACUUUUAUAUGAAGUUGCAUGUAAAGAUGGUAGGUUUCGGAUUCAGAUUUUUCAAAUACUCAUCCCAUCUUGUUUCUAAUAAAACAAUUAUAAAAUAAAUAUAAACAUAUUUAAAACAGGUUUGAAAAUUCUUUUAUAUCUCGUAUUGAGAUAUGAUUUUAUCUUAUUGAUGUAUGAGCCCGUCACAAUUUUUUAUUUUUUUUUUCUUUGAAUAUGUUAACGUACACGUUUGUCUACGUGCAAGUGCAAGUGGAAAAUAAAAUAUUAUGUCAAAACAAGGUUGUCAUGCUUUAAUUAUGAUUUUAUUGAACUUUUGCAACCAUAUAUUAUACAAAAUGGGUCACAUAUAGGCCAAAAAAAAUUUCCAAUUUAAUAAACCUUCGAUGUUACUAAUUUUAAACAUAAUUGAAAAAUAAAUUAAAUAAAUUUAAAUUUUAUAAAAUAAGUUGUAAACUUUGAAAAACUUGUAAGUAGGCCCAUAGUCAUUAUAUCAUCAUAGUGUUUUGAUAACAAAGUUUACAAUUAACAAAAGGUUCAAUUAAAGAGGAAUAAUUCUAACAUAAUAAAGAUUUAAAAGAGACAAAAAAAAUAAUUAAAAAAAAGGAAGAAAGAAGAGAUGGUUAUAAUUCCAAGUAGGUGAACCCUCAAGAUCAAGGGCCCAUGAUAAGGCAGAGUGGGGAUAGGCAAUUACAUUAUUUGAGAGGGUCUUUUGCAUUUUAAUUAUGAAAGGUGGUGGGAUUGAAAUUCAUGUCACAUGACAAAGCAUAAUUGCAUGAUUGGAGCAUCUUUCCUUGUAAUUGUUUGUGCCUAUUACUCCUUUUUUUUAUGAAAAAUAUAAGACUUAUUCAACCUCAGAUGUUAAUUAUUAUAUAUGAAAAAAAAAAAACAUUUCGGGUUACCUUUUAAAACAAAUUGAUUAUUUUAUUGAUAAAUUUUUCAUCUCAAUUUGUGAAUAAAAUUAUAAGUACAAAAAUCACUUUGUUUUCACAACACAAAAACCUUAACUUUUAUUGUCAAGAAGAAAAUAAGAAAAUUUGAAGAGAGGGACUUUUUUAAAAAAAGAAGAAUUAUUAUUUUUUUUUUUAAUUUUCUUAGAAAGAGAAAGAAAGAAGAAUUGUGUUCUUUCUAUUUUUUCUAAGAGAGAAAGAUAAUUUUUUUUCUUUUUUUAAUUUAUAAUAAUAGUUUCUUUUGAUAGUUUUAGAACUCUCAAAAGAAACUGAUCGAAACCAUGCCCAACCCUAACAACAUAUUAUACAAAAAAAAUAUAUAUAUAUACAUCAAUAAAUGAAAAUACAAAUAAUAAGAUUAAUAUACAAAAAAUGAGAUCAUAUAAAAAAAAUAGGAUUAAAAUAUAAAGAAAUAAAAUUAUGGUACAAAAUAAUAAUACUGAUUGUUCACACUUUUUGAUACAUAUCUCUUUUAUACUAUUCUCCUAAACACUUUGAAAAUAGCAGGAAGAAGGUGCGUUUCGGCCUAACUUGAAGACCAACAUAUGAAAGGAGAACAUUUUUGACACAACAAUCUGUGGGUGUUUCUCAUAACCACCUACUGUAUUACUUUUCAUGGCUUACUCUUCCAUGAUGAAAAUUCAAUGCCUGCACUUUUAGAAUUUAACAUGUUGGGAGAUAAACUUUGAUUAAGCUUCUGAAUUUUUUUGUAGCUGAUGUGACCACAGGUUCAUCGCAAGUGACUGAUAUGUGCAAUUUUUGUUGGCACAGUCACAGUUACCCAUCCAUGAUGUACAAGUAAUAUUGGUCCCACUCUCUUACACAAAAAGGUGUAUUCAAAAUUAAGGGUAUGUUUCUUCCAAAAAAGGGAAAAUGGACGUCAUGUGUGGUAGGGUAUGUAUACCUUUAGCAGGUGCAGGUGUAGGAGGCUUUGUUGCAACCAAUUACUCUCCCUUCCCAAGUAUUGGAAGGGAUAACAUAGAAGUCAUUUCCGUUAUCCUCAAUGUUUGAAUACAAGUACUUGAUGUAAAGAUAACCUUAAUAUUAAUUUGACCAAGUUUUGUUCAUGGAGAAAGAGGCUUUUUGAUUUUUCUAUGGGUCCAAAAGAUACCAGCCGUCCCACUUUGGGUGGUCUAGAUACUUGGCCAUAUUUGAUUAUUUGGAUUUGGUGCUCAAAUUCAAAUUGCAAACAAUUAAAUAGGAGGUGAAAGGUGAAGUGAAAUUUAGAGCAUUGACUGAUGAUAUAAAUAAACGAGACUAAAAUACAAUGGACUAAAAAUUUGAAACCAAAUUACCUAUUUGGAUGGUUGGAAUGGUACCAUGGUGGCACACUAUGCCCAAACCAGAUAAGGUCGAAUUGGAUUACUCUUUCAAAAACCCUCAUCGAAAAUUAAAUCACUAAAUUCAAAUAAAAUAAUAAAAUCUAUGUGAAAGAUGAUGAAAGCUUUGAGCCAAAUUCAAGCCCACACAAAGCAGACUAUUCACAAAGGGAGGAAGGGAGAGAGAGUCAAAUGCCAAUGAGGCUGAAUUCAUUACUUGCUCAAAUGGGAGAAUAGAAAGUCAAUCACGAGGGCUUCUUGCCCUCAAUUCAACUAGGUAACAAAAAUUUCUUCUACCCAAAUGGAAAUUUAGUUAAGAUGCGACAGUUACAUUGCAUAAGACAUGGAAGAGAUAAUGGCCAAUAAAGAUGAUGAAGAACUCUUGACUCCUUUAAAAUGGUAACAUGCACCUCAUGGCACCGGAAAUAUUGACUUGACGGAAAUCAUGAAAUGGUAGGAUAUUAUUAGUACUAGAUUGUCUCUAAAAACAGGUUUUAAGAUGGAAGAUAUCCAAUAUUUUGUGCAUUUUAUUAUCAAUAUCAUUAAGUUGAAAAAGUCUUUAGGUCACUGGUCAUUUGUCAAACUGAUUCAAUGGUUCAGAUCAUGAGCUAAACAAAAACUAAUAUUAUAAAUGUUUUAUUUAAUAAAAUUUAAAAUUAAUACAUUUAUAUUAAUACAUAAUUUAAUUUGAUACUACCAAUAGUAUUUUUUUUUUCAUAUUUGAUAUUAUCAAAUUAAAUUAUAGAUUAAUAUAAAUGUAUUAAUUUUAAAUUUUAUCAAACAAACAUAUAUAUGGAAUUCUCUAAAUAUCUUAAUUCCAUAUUAUUCCAUCUUUUCCCACUUGUAGAGGUGUGUGGAUGUCUUUAGGAGUUUUUAGAAGCUUCUAACACCUCACUCCUCUUCUAUAAAAGCUUAAGUGAGAAUUACUUUGAGCAUAUUGUGACAUUGUGCUCCAAUGUUAGUAAGAUGAACUAUCCAUCCUAUGUCAUAAAGAGAUGAAGAUAAAAAGGUGUUUAACCUCCACAUUCAACCAUGGUGCAUUGUUACUCCCGAGCACUAAUCAAAACACCUAAUAAGUAAUGUAAUGUAAUGUUCUGCCCCAAGAAAAAAAAUGUAGAAUUUAGAAAUUCAAUUGCGAUGUUCUCAACCUGAAAACUAAUUGGACCACGAUUUGAUCAAUGGUUGCACCAAUUGAUCUAGUUAGUUUGGUUUGGCUUUUAAAAUAUUGGUAAUAAUUAUAUUAUGGUCAUAAACCAAGUUCAUCUUAAGAAAUUAAUUGUUAAUUAUUUUCAUAUUAUUAAAAAAAAUUAAAAUGUUGUUCUUUCUUCAACAUGUGUUGUUUUGUGAAACCUUAAUUUCAUCAUUCAAUGCUCAUUGAAAAAGCUCUUGGUGCACUAAAAAAUCUACAUAAUUUGAAAAGAACCAUAAAAGCAAAGUGGAGAUGUAUAUAUAUAGAUACUACAUGUAGAUAUCUAUUUGUCUCUAUGUUCUAUGCUUGAUCACAAAUAAAUACAUAAUUUAAUUGAAACUAUCCCUUUAUAUGACUUUUCAAAGGAUUCAAAUGGUUAUUAUAAAUUAAUAAUGUAUAAGAUUUAGUUCAACAUGAUACUAUGAUAAAUUUUCAAUAAUUUAAAAAUAAUAAUUAAAUAAAUCGUAUCAAUUUGUUAGUAGAAAGUUGUUUUAUUAUGUGCUUUUACUUUUAUGAAAAGUAAGUUGUAACUUAUUAAAAAUUAGUCAUAUCUAUUUUUAAAAGUUAUAUGUCAAUAACUGAAUGAUAUUUGUAUAAAAAAUUAAGAGGGUUAAUGAGGAAGUCGAUUUUCGACAUAUUGACAUUCAAAUUUCUAAUUUUAAAGUUCCACAUAUUGAUGAUUCCUUUGGAGUAGGCUUAGGUGUUUCAUAAGUUGUCGUGUGGUACUUAGCCGGAUGAAAAUAACUCCCAAGUAGUCAUGUGACACUUAGACUAUUGGAAAUAAUCGAGAUGGCAGAGAAACAAUUCUACAAACUCUAAAAAAUAGGACAUGGAAAAUUUGAGAAAAGCCAAAGUUAUCCUCUAAGCCAAAUCUACUAGCAAAAAAAUCCAAAUUAUACAAGCAUAACAUAUCUAGAAACAAAAUUGUAAACUCAAGCCUAAUUCAGCAAACAAGGUCUAAAAUCAUACAAUUAAAUAGAAAGGAAAUUGUUAUAUCUAUGGUAAACCUAAACAUCAUGUUACUCAAUAUUACAUAGGAAGAGAAUUGAGAAAGCUAACGCUGAGGCUAAUAUGGUAGAUAUAGAGGUAAUACCUAUUGUAGUAUUCUCUUAGGGUAGAUAUGGUCACCAAAGUGAAGGAUUGGAUUGUAAACUUUGGGGCUACUAUGGACAUAUGUGUUAACAAAAGUGUAUUCACUUCCUAUAAUAUUGUAAAGGAAAGUAAGGAUCAAAUUCAUGGACAACUCUAGACCUUCUCCUAUGAUUGCAAAAGGAAAGUUCUCCUUAAACCAAUCUUAAGCAAAAUACUAAUUCGAAAUGUUAUCUUUAUAUGCUAGAUAUAAGUUGGAAUCUCAUGUUAGUUUUUCUACUUAGGAAAGUAGGAGUGAGAUAUUGUUUCAGUUAGACAAAAUUGUACUUACCAAAAUAAUGCAAUUAGGAAGGGUUCUUGUAAUUAGGGUUUGUUUAUAUAGAACAUUUUCAGAUCAUUUGUCAUAUUGUUUUUCUUCUACUUAUUUAGUUGAUUCUUGUGAUAUGUGGAAUGGUAAAUUAGGAUAUGCAAACCAUUCAUAUGUCAAUAAAAAAUAGAUAUUUGUUUGAUUCUUAACUAUCUUAAGAAAAUCGUGAUAGAUACGAACAUGUGUUAAAUCUAAAACCCCAAAAAGAACUUAUAAAAUUGUAAAUCGAGAAUCAUAGUUAUUAAGUCCAAUUUAAAGUAACUUAGAAGAUCUUAAAAAUACAAUGAUUAAGAAUGAUGAAAGAUUCAACAUAAUUUUUAUACAUGACUACUCAAGGUAUAUAAGGACAGUAAAAAUAAAGAUAAAAUACGCUAUAGUACCAAAAUGGUAUGUAUCACAUUCCAAAUUUAGAUUAAAAUAUGGUAAAAUGUAGGUCGUUGAAUGCGAGUGCAAAUAAUCGAUAUCAAAUUACAAGAGUAUAAGUAGAUGGGAUUCCGGCACAAACAACGGAGUGUGAAGAUAAGCCUACCACCACUUGAUUGAUUUAUUGAUGGUAAAAAAAGGUACACUGUAAUAUUAUUGGUGUACCCUAAUAUAUGAGAAGAGUCGAAAAUUAAAGAGGUAGGAAAAUUAAGAGGCGCUGGAAGACUUGGACGGUUCCAAGUCUUCCACCUAAUCAGCAACGAUGAACCCUUUGGACUGAAAUAUCAUUUUUUAGGAGGAACAAAUGAUGGCAAACCCUUUGUAAUCAAUUCGCUGCUCAGGGAGAAGUUCGAAUUGCUAAAGCUCCAAGCCAAAAUCCUGUGGCUUUCAACUAAUCUGCCGGUUGCAGCAGUGAAGCCAACAUACAUGUCAUCCAGAAAAACAUCAGAGAGAUUAAGAGCAACACUCAGUAAAGGGCGUUGAGGCCUCUUCUUGCCAGCCACAGCCAUGGUAACAUUGAUAUGAAGAUCCAAGUAAUCAAUCCAAACUUGAUAAUUCUUACCAUCAUUCAGCUUCAGCCUCUUGAAUGACGUCUCAUCUUCCUCGCUACUGCUCAUUUUCCCAUUACCGGACCAAUAACCAGCCUCAUGUGCGCUAAUAGAAGUGAGCGAAUUGACGUUGAUGCCAACAUGAUUAUCACUUAUAUCGCCAAAUUCUUCGUUUUUGAAGACGUCGAACUCGACGCCAAACACAUGGUUAUCCGGAUUCCCAUCGUUGGUACGGUUGAGAAAGCCUAGAUGUUGAGAAGAAGAGGCACCUUCGAUGCCAGUGACUGGUGCGAAGAGGAAAACGAUGCCAUGGAGAAGAUGAACGAGGUGGAAAAAGGAACCACAUGGGAGGAAUUCGGAGAUUUUGCCGGGAUUUGGAAUGGAUAAAGAGCUCUACCAAUUGCGAAGCUUGUGUGGUUUGUAAGAGUAAGGAUGCGAGACUCAAUGCCGGCAACACCGUAGAGUAACACAUCAGA
rnacentral:lncRNA from 1 species